rnacentral:rRNA from 1 species
UACGGAGGGUGCAAACGUUGCUCGGAAUCAUUGGGCGUAAAGCGCACGUAGGCGGCCCAGCAAGUCGGGUGUGAAAGCCCUCGGCUUAACCGAGGAAGUGCAUUCGAAACUACUGAGCUUGAAUACUGGAGAGGAUCGCGGAAUUCCCGGUGUAGAGGUGAAAUUCGUAGAUAUCGGGAGGAACACCGGUGGCGAAGGCGGUUCUCUGGGCCUUACCUGACGCUGAGGAGCGAAAGCGUGGGGAGCGAACAGG